rnacentral:rRNA from 1 species
AAGGGUGGGGGAGUGACGUCAAAUCAUCAUGCCCCUUAUGACCUGGGCUACACACGUGCUACAAUGGGCGGUACAAAGGGUCGCGAACCGCGAGGGGGAGCCAAUCCCAAAAAGCCGCUCUCAGUUCGGAUUGCAGGCUGCAACUCGCCUGCAUGAAGCCGGAAUCGCUAGUAAUCGCGGAUCAGCAUGCCGCGGUGAAUACGUUCCCGGGCCUU